rfam:Schistosoma margrebowiei strain Zambia genome assembly, scaffold: SMRZ_contig0007923
GCACUGGUGAGGAGUCCCACAAUAGGACGAAACGGCCUUCGAGUGC